rnacentral:rRNA from 1 species
GCUUAACCGAGGAGGGUCAUUGGAACUGUCUUUCUUGAGUGCAAAAAGGGAGAGUGGACUCCAUGUGUAGCGGUGGAAUGCGUAGAUAUGUGGAGGAACACCAGUGGCGAAGGCGGCUCUCCGGUCUGUAACUGACGCUGAGGCUCGAAAGCAUGGGGAGCGAACAGGAUUAGAUACCCUGGUAGUCCACGCUGUAAACGAUGAGUGCUAAGUGUUAGAAGGUUUCCGCCUCUUAGUGCUGCAGCUAACGCAUUAAGCACUCCGCCUGGGGAGUACGACCGCAAGAUUGAAACUCAAAGGAAUUGACGGGGGCCCGCACAAGCGGUGGAGCAUGUGGUUUAAUUCGAAGCAACGCGAAGAACCUUACCAGGUCUUGACAUCCUCUGACAACCUUAGAGAUUAGGCUUCCCCUUCGGGGACACAAUGACAGGUGGUGCAUGGUUGUCGUCAGCUCGUGUCGUGAGAUGUUGGGUUAAGUCCCGCAACGAGCGCAACCCUUAUUAUUAGUUGCCAGCAUUAAGUUGGGCACUCUAAUGAGACUGCCGGUGACAAACCGGAGGAAGGUGGGGAUGACGUCAAAUCAUCAUGCCCCUUAUGACCUGGGCUACACACGUGCUACAAUGGGCAGAACAACG